rnacentral:rRNA from 1 species
AGGAAUUGGCGGGGGAGCACCACAAGGGGUGAAGCCUGCGGUUCAAUUGGAGUCAACGCCAGGAAACUUACCAGGAGAGACAGCAGAUUGAGGGUCAGGCUGAAGACCUUACCUGACGAGCUGAGAGGAGGUGCAUGGCCGUCGCCAGCUCGUGCCGUGAGGCGUCCUGUUAAGUCAGGCAACGAGCGAGACCCCUAUCCGUAAUUGCUAACUGCCCAGAGAUGGGUAGAGGCUAGUUACAGAGACUGCCGCUGCUAAAGCGGAGGAAGGAAGGGGCCACGGCAGGUCAGUAUGCCCCGAAACUCCUGGGCCACACGCGGGCUGCAAUGGUAGGGACAAUAGGUUCCGACCUCGAAAGAGGAAGGCAAUCCCGAAACCCUACCCCAGUUGUGAUCGAGGAUUGAAACCCGUCCUCGUGAAUAUGGAAUCCCUAGUAACCGCGUGUCAUCACCGCGCGGUGAAUACGUCCCUGCUCCUUGCACACACCGCCCGUC